rnacentral:rRNA from 1 species
CCUACGGGGGGCUGCAGUAAGGAAUAUUGGUCAAUGGACGCAAGUCUGAACCAGCCAUGCCGCGUGGAGGAUGACGGUCCUCUGGAUUGUAAACUUCUUUUCUCUGGGACGAAACCCCCGAUUUCUAUCGGGCCUGACGGUACCAGAGGAAUAAGCACCGGCUAACUCCGUGCCAGCAGCCGCGGUAAUACGGAGGGUGCAAGCGUUAUCCGGAUUCACUGGGUUUAAAGGGUGCGUAGGUGGGCAGAUAAGUCAGUGGUGAAAUCUCUGGGCUUAACCCGGAAACUGCCAUUGAUACUAUUUGUCUUGAAUUCUCUGGAGGUAAGCGGAAUAUGUCAUGUAGCGGUGAAAUGCUUAGAUAUGACAUAGAACACCCAUUGCGAAGGCAGCUUACUACGGAGACAUUGACACUGAGGCACGAAAGCGUGGGGAUCAAACAGGCUUAGAUACCCCGGUAGUC